rnacentral:precursor_RNA from 1 species
UCAUGACUAAUGAUUGUAUAUGUCUGAGAUGAUUGUAUACUCAGACAUAUACAAUCAUGACUAACAAUUCAUGG